UAUAGAAUCCAAAACUAUGAAUUACAGGACACCUAAAACCCUUUACAAAUAGUAAUUAUAAACCAUGAAACUGUCAAGUUUAACAGAUCCAAUGAACUUUAAAAGUGAUUUUAUUUUAUUUUAUUGUGGAAAGCCGUCACAUGAUUUGAUUUGUCCCCAAAUGACACAAAUGUGAAAUAUAAAGUUUCAGUAAAGUAUCUAAUAAUUAAUUAAUUUGAUUGUCAUGUGUAAUUAAAGUGCAUUACAUCAACCGGUUGAAGAUUUAACUCAGUCAGGACCUUCACAUGUGCUGCCAAGUGUCCAUCAGUGUUACCUCAUCAGCUGCUUGUUACCUGAAGGAAAUGAUGUAAUUUAGUGAAUAUCAGCAGUGACAAACACACAGUUUGUCAGAGCUGUGAGGAGUGUCAGGGUUUCAGUGUUCUUCCUCUCUCCUCCCCUCUCACUGCAGACAUGAAACGCUGGCUGAGAAACAUCCUGAUUCUGACUCUCUGUUUAGAGUGUAAAGGACAAGACAAAGUGAACCAGCCAACAGAGGAUGUCAUUGCUACUGAAGGAGACUCAGUUACACUUGGAUGUACAUUUGAGACAAGUGACCCAAGUCCAAAUUUGUUCUGGUACAAACAGGAAGCAAACGAUUAUCCAAAGUACAUGCUGAAAUGUUUCUCUAAAACAGUCGAUCAUGCUCCAGAGUUUGAAAAGGACAGAUUUAAUGCUACAAUUGAGAACAAGUCGGUUCCUCUGAGGAUCCAGAAGCUUCAGCUGUCUGACUCUGCUGUGUACUACUGUGCUCUGAGGCCCACAGUGACAGGAAACACCAAAACUCUGUACAAAAACCUUUGGAGCAAAGACAACAGAAUACUCCACAACAUCCACUAGAGGGAGUCACACACUGUUACACUGCAGUGGGAUGUGAUUUUCCAGAAUCAUCUGCAAAAGACAGCAGAAAAUGAAGCAUGAAAGAUAAAGGUAUAAAGUAAAAUUUAGUUAGUCAUAAAACACAAACUGUAAUGAUAAUGAGGUGUUGUGGGAUGCUAUUUAUGUGAACAAUAUCUCAUCACAGGUGAAUUUAACAGCAAAUCUUGUGACAUCUGCAGCUCAAAUUCAACUCUUUAGG